rnacentral:rRNA from 1 species
UACGUAGGGCGCAAGCGUUAUCCGGAAUUAUUGGGCGUAAAGAGCUCGUAGGCGGUUUGUCGCGUCUGCCGUGAAAGUCCGGGCUCAACUCCGGAUCUGCGGUGGGUACGGGCAGACUAGAGUGAUGUAGGGGAGACUGGAAUUCCUGGUGUAGCGGUGAAAUGCGCAGAGUAUCAGGAGGAACACCGGUGGCGAAGGCGGAUCUCUGGGCCAUUAACUGACGCUGGAGGAGCGGAAAGCGUGGGGAGCGAACAGG